GCUGUGAGGCGUGCGCAGUGUAAACGUACGAUGGCGGUCAAUCUGUGCAUGAAUUGUGUGAACCAAGUUAGAUAGGAUACAUAAGACAAUAAUUACGGAUUAUAUUUUUUUACAGCCAUGCCAAGGAAACUGUUAGUGGGCGGCUUGCAGCGGAAUGGUUCGGUGAAGGGGAUCAAAAAGGUCUCUCCACCAACCGUACCGACCUUGAAUGUGAAGGCAGCUCAGUUCAAGAAGAGCCCCUGCAUAUGUAACGGAGACGAGCAACUUACCCUCGACUUCGGAGAUUCAGAUAGCGACUACAGCAGUUCUUACAGCAAACCGCCCAGAUCGCCUUCAAACGGUAAG